rnacentral:rRNA from 1 species
CCACAUAUUACUAGGUUAGCAAUGGAGCGACGGAGAAGGAUAGAUGAUCCCAGGCGAUGGUUGUCCUGGGGUAAAUGAGUAGGAAGACUGAUAGGUAAAUCCGUUAGUCAUAAAUUCUGAGACAUGAUGCCGAGCCGCUUUUAGGCGAAGUCAUUAAUUCCAUACUUCCAAGAAAAACUUCUAGUUAGUUUUAAUAGUGCCCGUACCCCAAACCGACACAGGUGGACAAGUAGAGAAUACUAAGGCGAGCGAGAGAACUCUGGUUAAGGAACUCGGCAAAAUAGUUCCGUAACUUCGGGAGAAGGAACGCCCAAGUAAAGUGAUUAAUUAACUUUAUGAGCUUGAAAGGGCCGCAGUGAUCAGACUCAAGCGACUGUUUAUCAAAAACACAGGAGGGUGCAAAGUUCUAAUACAACGUAUACCCUCUGACACCUGCCCGGUGCUGGAAGGUUAAGUGGAGAGGUUAGCUUCGGCAAAGCUUUGAAAUUAAGCCCCAGUAAACGGCGGCCGUAACUAUAACGGUCCUAAGGUAGCGAAAUUCCUUGUCGGGUAAGUUCCGACCUGCACGAAUGGUGUAACGAUUUGAGUACUGUCUCAACCAGAGACUCGGCGAAAUUGCAAUGUGAGUAAAGAUGCUCACUAUGCGCGACAGGACGGAAAGACCCCGGAACCUUUACUGCAACUUGAUAUUGAUGUUUAAUGUGCAGUAUGCAGGAUAAGUGGGAGACUUUGAUUUAGAUGCGCUAGUGUCUAAUGAGUCAUCCUUGAGAUACCACUUUCUUCAUAUUGAGCCUCUAACCUAGAUCCGUUAUCCGGAUCAGGGACAUUGUCUGGUGGGCAGUUUCACUGGGGCGGUGGCCUCCUAAAAAGUAACGGAGGCGCUCUAAGGUCACCUCAGCGUGGACGGCAAUCACGCAUUGAGUGUAAGUGCAAAAGGUGGCUUGACUGUGACACAAACAAGUGGAGCAGGUACGAAAGUAGGAACUAGUGAUCCCAUGGUUGCAUGUGGGUGCGCCAUGGCUCAUCGGCUAAAAGGUACUCCGGGGAUAACAGGCUUAUACCCCCCAAGAGUCCAUAUCGACGGGGGUGUUUGGCACCUCGAUG